rnacentral:rRNA from 1 species
UACGUAGGGUGCGAGCGUUAAUCGGAAUUCUGGGCGUAAAGCGUGCGCAGGCGGUUCGUUAAGUUCGUUUGUGAAAGCCCCGGGCUCAACCUGGGAACUGCAAUGGAAACUGGCGGGCUUGGAGUAUGGGCAGAGGGGGGGUGGGAAUUCCGCGUGUAGCAGUGAAAUGCGUAGAGAUGCGGAGGAACAUCAGUGGGCGAAAGGCGGCCAUCUGGGACAACACUGACGGCUGAAGCACGGAA